rnacentral:lncRNA from 1 species
AUGGAAAAGUGUCCCUGAAACGGGAAUUCCAUGGAAAAGUGUCCCUGAAACGGGAAUUCCAUGGAAAAGUGUCCCUGAAACGGGAAUUCCAUGGGAAAUGGGAAAAGUGGCUCGAAAAAUGGGUAAAUCACCUGGAAAUUGAGAAAUUCCAUGCGAAAAUGUCCCCAAAAUGGAGAAAUUCCCUGGAAAAAUGACCCUAAAAUGGAGAAAUUUGAUCAAAAAAUGACCCUAAAAUGGAGAAGUUUCCUGGAAAAAUGUCCCUAAAAUGGAGAAAUUCCCUGGAAAAAUGUCCCUAAAAUGGAGAAAUUCCAUGGAAAAAUGACCCUAAAAUGGAGAAAUUCCACGGGAAAAUGUCCCUAAAAUGGAGAAAUUCCACGGGAAAAUGGAAAAAUUCCAUGGAAAAAUGUCCCUAAAAAUGGGAAAUUCCAUGGGAAAAUGGGAAAAUCACCUGGAAAUUGAGAAAUUCUAUGGAAAAUUGUCCUUAAAAUGGAGAAAUUCAUGGAAAAUGUCCCUGAAAUUGAGAAAUUCCAGGAAAAAACGAGGAAAGUUCCAGGGGAAAAUGUCAGAGAAAUGGAGAAUUUUCCAUGGAAAAAUAUCCCAGGAAUUGAAAAUUCCAAUGGGAUUUUUGGACCUUUAUUUUAUGGGAUUUUUUUGAAUUUCUGGGCUCUUUUUUAACAUUAUUUUUUGGUUCUUUUUUUGGGAUUUUAGCCAGAUUUUUUUGGGAUUUGGGGCUGGUUUGGCUGAGCUGGAAAUCACAAAAAAAUCCUCGAAAUUCUGGGGAAAAAAAGGAAAAAAAAAAUCACAAAAAUGCAAAAAUUCUGGAAUUGGGGGCUGGGAAUCCGAGCGGGAACUGGGAGAGGAAAAAUUGGGCUGAAAAUGGGCCAAAAAAUCGGGAUUUUGGUGUUUUGGGGGCUUUUAUUUUGAUUUUUUUUUUUGGGAAUAAACGGAAUUUGGAUGAGCUGGAAUUGGGGUGA